rnacentral:rRNA from 1 species
AGGACGAACGCUGGCGGCGUGGAUUAGGCAUGCAAGUCGCGCGACAGACCUUCGGGUUAUGGAGCGGCGAACGGGUGAGUAACACGUGAGAAAUCUACCUUUACGUUCCGGAUAAUUGGAAGAAAUUCCUUGUAAUACGGGGGAGGUUCCUACUUUGGCAUCAGAGAAGGAACAAACGAGCAAUCGGCGCAAAGAUGAUCUCGCGGCUUAUCAGGUAGUUGGUGGGGUAACGGCCUACCAAGCCUACGACGAGUAGCUGGU